GUUGUAACACCGGUUCCCAGAUGAUCACCAAAAUUAAGCAACAUCGAAUCUGGUCAGUACCUAGAUGGGUGACUGCUUGAGAAUACCAAGUGCUGUAAG